rnacentral:rRNA from 1 species
GAUGAACGCUAGCGGCAGGCCUAACACAUGCAAGUCGAGGGGCAGCACGUCUUCGGAUGGUGGCGACCGGCGCACGGGUGCGUAACGCGUAUGCAACCUACCUCUUACAGUGGGAUAGCCCAGAGAAAUUUGGAUUAAUACCGCAUAGUAUACAGAUUCAGCAUUGGGACUGUAUUAAACAUUUAUGGGUAAGAGAUGGGCAUGCGUUCUAUUAGUUAGUUGGAGUGGUAACGGCACCCCAAGACAGCGAUAGAUAGGGGCCCUGAGAGGGGGAUCCCCCGACACUGGUACUGAGACACGGACCAGACUCCUACGGGAGGCAGCAGUGAGGAAUAUUGGACAAUGGGCGAGAGCCUGAUCCAGCCAUGCCGCGUGCA